GCCCAGACUCCUACGGGAGGCAGCAGUGGGGAAUAUUGCACAAUGGGGGAAACCCUGAUGCAGCGACGCCGCGUGAGCGAUGAAGUCUUUCGGUAUGUAAAGCUCUCUCAGCAGGGAAGAAAAUGACGGUACCUGAAGAAGAAGCCCCGGCUAACUACGUGCCAGCAGCCGCGGUAAUACGUAGGGGGCAAGCGUUAUCCGGAUUUACUGGGUGUAAAGGGGGCGCAGACGGCGAUGCAAGCCAGGAGUGAAAGCCCGGGGCCCAACCCCGGGACUGCUCUUGGAACUGCGUGGCUAGAGUGCAGGAGGGGCAGGCGGAAUUCCUGGUGUAGCGGUGAAAUGCGUAGAUAUCAGGAGGAACACCGGUGGCGAAGGCGGCCUGCUGGACUGCAACUGACGUUGAGGCCCGAAAGCGUGGGGAGCAAACAGGAUUAGAUACCCCCGUA
rnacentral:rRNA from 1 species